CCUACGGGAGGCUGCAGUGGGGAAUAUUGGGCAAUGGAGGAAACUCUGACCCAGCAACGCCGCGUGAAUGAUGAAGGUUUUCGGAUUGUAAAGUUCUUUUCUAAGGGAAGAAGAUAGUGGCGGUACCUUAAGAAUAAGCCUCGGCUAACUACGCGCCAGCCGCCGCGGUAAUACGGAGGAGGCGAGCGUUAGUCGGAAUGACUGGGCGUAAAGGGGGCGGAGGUGGUUUGGCAAGUUAGUAGCGUAACUCCAAGGCUCAACCAUGGAACUACUACUAAAACUGUUGGACUUGAGUGCAGGAGGGGCAACCGGAAUUCUUGGUGUAGCGGUAGAAUGCGUAGAGAUUAGGAGGAACACCAGUGGCGAAGGCGGGUUGCUAGACUGUAACUGACACUGAGGCACGAAAGCGUGGGGAGCAAACAGGAUUAGAUACCCCGGUAGUC
rnacentral:rRNA from 1 species